ACCCCCUGGCAGUGGGCAAAGAUGCACCCCACUGCUGGUGGUGUUCUUAUAUCAGUCAUGGGUAGAGCAGAUGGUAUCCUUUGUUCAUCCUAGCUUGAUGCCUGACUUGGUAGCCAAAGCUGUUUCAUGCCUAGGGCACAUUA
rnacentral:snoRNA from 1 species